rnacentral:rRNA from 1 species
AGUGAACGCUGGCGGCGUGCUUAACACAUGCAAGUCGAACGAGAACGGAUUAUAGCUUGCUAUAAUUGUCAGCUAAGUGGCGCACGGGUGAGUAAUGUAUAGGUAAUAUGCCUCUUACUAAGGGAUAACAAAUGGAAACGUUUGCUAAUACCUUAUACUCCUUAUUAACAGAAGUUAAUAAGGGAAAGAUUUAUUGGUAAGAGAUUAGCCUGUAUUGUAUCAGUUAGUUGGUGGGGUAAUGGCUUACCAAGACUAUGACACAUAACUGGUUUGAGAGGAUGAUCAGUCACACUGGAACUGAGACACGGUCCAGACUCCUACGGGAGGCAGCAGUGGGGAAUAUUGCACAAUGGACGAAAGUCUGAUGCAGCAACGCCGCGUGGAGGAUGACACAUUUCGGUGCGUAAACUCCUUUUAUAUGAGAAGAUAAUGACGGUAUUAUAUGAAUAAGCACCGGCUAACUCCGUGCCAGCAGCCGCCGCCG